CCUUGCCAGCCCGCUCAGAAACUCAAAUGAAUUGACGGGGGCCCCGCACAAGCGGUGGAGCAUGUGGUUUAAUUCGAUGAUACGCGAGGAACCUUACCUGGGCUCAAAUGUAUGUUGACGUAUUCUGAAAGGGAUACUUCUUCGGACAAUAUACAAGGUGCUGCAUGGUUGUCGUCAGCUCGUGCCGUGAGGUGUCGGGUUAAGUCCCAUAACGAGCGCAACCCCUAUCAUUAGUUGCCAUCAGGUCAAGCUGGGGACUCUAAUGAAACUGCCUACGCAAGUAGUGAGGAAGGUGGGGAUGACGUCAAAUCAGCACGGCCCUUACGUCCAGGGCUACACACGUGCUACAAUGGUCGGUACAAAGGGUUGCCAAGCCGCGAGGUGGAGCUAAUCCCAUAAAACCGAUCGUAGUCCGGAUCGCAGUCUGCAACUCGACUGCGUGAAGUCGGAAUCGCUAGUAAUCGUGAAUCAGAAUGUCACGGUGAAUACGUUCCCGGGCCUU
rnacentral:rRNA from 1 species